rnacentral:lncRNA from 1 species
UUUGUGUGUUGUUGGAACUUGGAAUGAAGUAGCAGGAGGUUUUGUUCUUUUGAAGGGAAGAAGAAAUGGUAUAUGGUAGAGAAUGAGGGACUUGGAUAUGAGAGAAAGAAAGAGUAUAACGUUGAAGAUGGAGUGGGGUGAAGGAAGAUUUUAUGAAGUUACAGCGGAGAGAGUUAUGUAAUGUGAGUGUGUAUGUGCCUCCACAAUGAAAACUCUUUUAUUUUUUUCUUUCAAAGCUCUGAGCUUCUUCUUUUUCUUGUUGCAGCAGAGAGAGGGACGUGAGGGAUAUCUUUUGUGUUUUUGUCCGUUAGAGUCUUUAUUAUUUUUCUUUUUGUCCUUUUUGGCUCAGAGAGAGACGUUGGAGUGUGAGAGAGUUUUCGUUUCUCUCCUUUCUGACCGUUGGCGAGUCCAAAAGAAGAAGAGAUAUUUUCAAUUUUCUUUAUUAAUUAUGCAAUUAAUUUAAAUGCUAUUUUUUGAUUGGAUGAUAGAAAUGGACACAGAUUGCUAAUGAGGAGCAUUGAUCAAUUUGAAUUGAUGGCCUGGAUCAAAUCAAAGAAACACACCAAGAAGCACAUACUAUUUUAAAUAGAUUAAAAUGCAUAUAAUGUCUUUUUUUAAUGAUUUAAUUGAUUUAGAACAAUUUAAACCAAUUGAAUCAAAUAAAAUUCUCAACUUCUAAAAUGAGUAUGAAUAAAACAAAAUAAGGACAUGGAAAAUUCUAUUUAUUUAAUCUGAAUAUUUUGACGAAAGAAUAAAAUUAAAAUGACUAAAAAUGAAUAAAAGUCGGGCGAAAAUUUGCUCGAAAAAUUAAAUCGGAUGCAUGAAAAUGAUCAGUGAGGAAUAUACUUAUUGAAAAAAUGCAGCGUUUCUUUAAAUUUUGAAAUAAAUUUUCAUCGGUUAAAAGGCUCAGGCGGGUCAAAAUGCAUUUGAAAGAGUCGUUGAAGUGGUGGCUCAUGAUUUUUCGGUGACGAAACUGUAUCUUGAAGUGGAGGCUUGGCGACCUCGUGGCGAUUUGCCCACUGUAGCAGACGAUGCAUUUGGAAUUUGCGUGAGGAUUGCGUCAGGGUUUGCGGAUGAAUAAUGGUAUGUCGUUGUGUUGUUUUAUGUAGGUGGAGGUUGGUUAGAUUGUGAGUGUUAGAUCGAUGAGAAGAUGAUGUAAGGUGGUGAGUAUGCACUUUGCAGAUGGAGGGAGAAGUUUGUAGUUUGUGUGUUUUUGGAACAUGGAAUGAAGUAGCAGGAGGUUUUGUUCUUUUGAAGGGAAGAAGAAAUGGUAUAUGGUAGAGAGUGAGGGACUUGGAUAUGAGAGAAAGAAAAAGUAUAACGUUGAAGAUGGAGUGGGGUGAAGGAAGAUUUUAUGAAGUUACAACGGAGAGAGUUAUGUAAUGUGAGUGUGUAUGUGCCUCCACAAUUAAAACUCUUUUAUUUUUUUUCUUUCAAAGCUCUGAGCUUCUUCUUUUUCUUGUUGCAUCAGAGACAGGGACGUGAGGGAUAUCUUUUGUGUUUUUGUCCGUUAGUGUCUUUAUUAUUUUUCUUUUUGUCCUUU